GGCCACUCUUUAAUAAGAAUGCAUUAUUUCUGCACACUAAACGCUUGGACCGAGACUUGGUUUGGGGGUGAAGAGUGGAGCUGUGGUCAGGGAGAGGUUAACUGGCUCGUGCGCUCUGGUGGCUGGGCAGGCGCGGAGCUGCGGCGCGCUGACGCGGGGAUGGAGAGCUCAGAUGCGCUGCUGCUCCGCCAGGAUCCCGCGGCCCGGGCCGACCUUUCCCUACUGCUUUCAACGCUCUUCUGCGCCGGAACUUUACAUCACGGACAGAAAGACACGCAGGGUCAUCCCCCAAGGGCGUUGAUCUGGGUCAGAUCAUUUAUCGCUGAUCACUCCACCCCACCUUUCCCAGCCUGUAAGUGACUGCGAUUGGAUGGGGGUUAAUUAGCAGAUUCUUGGGGUUUCCUGGUGUGGAGUCCCCAAAGAAAAGAUACAUCAAUAGGGAGACACUCAUGCUCCUUUUCUUUUGGAUCUGGACUGCAGAUUGCAACAGAUUGGACAUCUGGAAAGCCGGCAGGAUUCCCAGAGGAGCCUUUCCCUCAAGGAUCAUACAAGACUAUUUGUGGAAACCGCCAACUAUACCCUCUACCUGGACUACUGCAGUUGUCCGGAGAUGGUCCUUGAGGGAAUUUUGCCCGCUUUUGUGGAAUGGGUGCUGGUGUCCUGUGGAUCGCCUCUGAUUGUGGACAUCGCGGAUGACACCAGCCCCACUCCGGACCCAGAGCCCAGCCCACAAUCUCCCCGCUGCGCAGAGCCUAAGCCAAAGCCCACCGCUGAUGGAGAGCCAGAGCCCACUGCGACUGAUGAGCCAUUGCCAUGGAGAGCGACAGAGCUGAGGAUCGCCUCGGAGCUUAAGCCUGACCAGUCAGACCAGGUGCGAAAGCCGGCAACAGAGCUUGCCACGGUGGAGAAUGCUAUGAAUGGCGAGAGCACGGAGGGAAGCUCCACCCACUGCAUCAUGGCUGAGGGUGAGCAGCUCUCUAUGGACAAUAAUGAGGAUCUUAUUAAUCUGGAUAUAGAUGCAAACAUGCCUGUUCUGCUUCCGCCUUCAUCUGAGCUCUCUAGCUACCCUGAACUAUAUACAUGCCUGGAUUUUCCACCCACCCUCCCUCUCUUGCCUCCUCCUAUCAUCCCUACCGCUUCAUCUCCGUCACCGCUGUGUCCUGGCAGACCCUCAGCUCAAACCUCAGCCCACCAUCUAUGCACUGGAUUCGCCGCGGGUCUGCCACUCUCUAUUGGCGUCAUGGCUGUAGGAUCCCUUGUCUCCGCCUCCAGCCUCUGAGUC
ensembl:lncRNA